ACUCGGGGAUAGCCUUUCGAAAGAAAGAUUAAUACCCGAUGGCAUAGUUCUUCCGCAUGGUAGAACUAUUAAAGAAUUUCGGUCAUCGAUGGGGAUGCGUUCCAUUAGGUUGUUGGCGGGGUAACGGCCCACCAAGCCUUCGAUGGAUAGGGGUUCUGAGAGGAAGGUCCCCCACAUUGGAACUGAGACACGGUCCAAACUCCUACGGGAGGCAGCAGUGAGGAAUAUUGGUCAAUGGACGAGAGUCUGAACCAGCCAAGUAGCGUGAAGGAUGACUGCCCUAUGGGUUGUAAACUUCUUUUAUACGGGAAUAAAGUGAGGCACGCGUGCCUUUUUGUAUGUACCGUAUGAAUAAGGAUCGGCUAACUCCGUGCCAGCAGCCGCGGUAAUACGGAGGAUCCGAGCGUUAUCCGGAUUUAUUGGGUUUAAAGGGAGCGUAGGCGGACGCUUAAGUCAGUUGUGAAAGUUUGCGGCUCAACCGUAAAAUUGCAGUUGAUACUGGGUGUCUUGAGUACAGUAGAGGCAGGCGGAAUUCGUGGUGUAGCGGUGAAAUGCUUAGAUAUCACGAAGAACUCCGAUUGCGAAGGCAGCUUGCUGGACUGUAACUGACGCUGAUGCUCGAAAGUGUGGGUAUCAAACAGGAUUAGAUACCCUGGUAGUCCACACAGUAAACGA
rnacentral:rRNA from 1 species